rfam:Sinorhizobium meliloti 1021 complete chromosome
GCCAUGGGGUAAGCGAAUGCCUCACGAGGCGCCAUGCCGGAAUUUCGCGUCCGCUAACGAUCUAAAGGACGUCGUAUCAUG